rfam:Actinomyces sp. oral taxon 848 str. F0332 genomic scaffold Scfld1, whole genome shotgun sequence.
GGCGGCGGUCAUAGCGGCAGGGACACGCCCGGACCUUUCCUUUCCGAACCCGGAAGCUAAGACUGCCAGCGCCGAUGGUACUGCACCCGCCAGGGUGUGGGAGAGUAGGACACCGCCGCCC